GCCUCACAGCUCAGUUGGUUAGAGCAUGGUGCUGAUAAUGCCAAUGUUGCAGGUUCGAUUCCUGCAUGGGGCA